AGCGAACGUUUGCGGCGGGCUUAACACAUGCAAGUCGAACGAGAAUCCCUUCGGGGAGGAAGUGGCGCACGGGUGCGUAACACGUGGAUAACCAACCCAUUGGUUUGGGACAACACCGGGAAACUGGUGCUAAUACCAGAUGUGUCGCAGCUGUCUUCAGGCGGUUGCGAGAAAGGCCCGCAAGGGUCGCCAACGGACGGGUCCGCGUCCCAUCAGCUAGUUGGUGAGGUAAUGGCUCACCAAGGCAAAGACGGGUAGCUGGUCUGAGAGGAUGAUCAGCCACACUGGAACUGAGACACGGUCCAGGCUCCUACGGGAGGCAGCAGUGGGGAAUAUUGCGCAAUGGGCGAAAGCCUGACGCAGCCACGCCGCGUGAGCGAUGAAGGUCUUCGGAUCGUAAAGCUCUGUGGGGGGAGAAGAAGAAAGACCGGUGAAGAGCCGGCCCUGACGGUAUCCCCUUACGCAAGCACCGGCUAACUCCGUGCCAGCAGCCGCGGUAAAGU
rnacentral:rRNA from 1 species